GUGGAUAAAUAUAUUUCUGACAUUUAUAAAAGUAUAUAGACUAUUUAUUUACACACAAAAACAAAAAUUUGACCUUUAUAUCUUCUUUCUGUAAUCAGUUUUCCAGUGUGGUCUUGUGAUCAGGAUGCAUCAGCGGAAAACUUAACGGAGAAAAAGCCCAUGAAUUCUUGAACUCCAUCAGUGCCCAGAAAAGUAUUUUUAUAAGGGAAUGUUCUAGGUAUUGGGGACCUGCUACAUAUCAUGUUGGGACAGCAGUUACACCAGAUCCUGAACAUACGUAGUGAGGCCAUCUGUACAUCUGGAUAAUGUUUCUUUGUGCUGGUGAAAAUUCUUAUUCAUCAUUUAAAUACUGUGAAGACUCAGAGAGGUUGCUUGGCUGAAGCCAGUGAAUUUUUUAGAAAGAAAAGGUAUCCAAGUCUUCUGGAAAAAGAUUGGCAUAAACUGAUAGCAAAUUUGACAAUGUGAAGUCUAAGCAGCUAUACUUGUGUUACCAAGAAAUUUAUCCACUUCUCAAUUCCUUUAUGGAUACUGAUUUACUGAGUUCUCCUGCAUGUGUAGUUGUGGUUUAGAAUAUUUUUAAAUACCAUUAAAUACCAUUAUAUAUUUGAACACAGAUCUAUGACCAGAUCAUGAAGUUAUUUCUCACGUCUGUAAUAUGCAACUUAACAGUUUUUGGAUUUGAAUGAUGCACAGUCUGUCUUACU
rnacentral:lncRNA from 1 species